rnacentral:rRNA from 1 species
UACGAAGGGUGCAAGCGUUAAUCGGAAUUACUGGGCGUAAAGCGUGCGUAGGCGGUGAGUUAAGUCUGUCGUGAAAUCCCCGGGCUCAACCUGGGAAUGGCGAUGGAUACUGGCUCGCUAGAGUGUGAUAGAGGAUGGUGGAAUUCCCGGUGUAGCGGUGAAAUGCGUAGAGAUCGGGAGGAACAUCAGUGGCGAAGGCGGCCAUCUGGAUCAACACUGACGCUCAUGCACGAAAGCGUGGGGAGCAAACAGG